rnacentral:lncRNA from 1 species
UGCAAGACUGUUGUGAUAACCUGUGGGAAGUGCGAUAAGAUCAACUGUAUACGCUGGGACUUUCCUGUACACAAUAGCAAACGGUGACAUCUUUGUGGAGCUGUGAAUCGCACUGUUGUAAGCAAAUUCUGUUUGGGCAAGAGCAAGAUCCCAAGCAGUUUUCUUGUUACUGCAGAUGCAGCGUAGAAGAUUGCCAAGCGUUCGGUUCACGACUUCAGUUUGUCCAUCAGUUUGUGGAUGGGCAGCACUACUGUAUCGAAGUUCAAUCCCAAAACGUUUCCAUAAAGUCACCCAGAAGUGAGCUAGAAACUUCACAUCUCUGUCACAAGUAAUGGUCUUGGGGACACCAUGUAAGCGAACAAUCUCCUGGAAAAACAGUUUUGCUACAUGAAAAGCAUCAUUAGUUUUCUUACAGGGAAUGAAAUGCGCCAUUUUAGAGAACCUGUCAACAACAACAAAAAUGGAAUCAGAUCCACGUUGAGUACGUGGAAGACCAAGAAUAAAAUCCAUAGACAAGUCCUCCCAAGGAUGGGCUGGAAUAGGCAGUGGAGUGUAUAAGCCUGUAUUCUGCGAAUGUCCCUUCUGAGUUUGACACACUGGGCACUUCUGAACCAUCCGACUUGUAUCCUUUUUUAAUUGAGGCCAGUAAAAACGCUCCUCCAACCUAGCAAUAGUCUUGUCACACCCUAAAUGACCACUCAAACCUCCUCCAUGGAUCUCGCGAAUCAACUUUUCCUGCAAGGAAGAUCGAGGGAUGCAUAACCUGUUCUCCUUAAAAAGAAAGUCAUCAUGUAUCAAGAACCCAUCAGUAGGCUGAUGAGUCUGGACUCUAGCCCAUAUAUCAGCAAAAUCAUCAUCUGUAGCAUACAAUAAUCCUUCGGGAAUUCAAAACCUACAACCUCCUGAUUAACUGUAAUCAACAGGGCAGCUCUCCUACUCAAAGCAUCUGCCACCUUAUUACUAUGGCCAGCCUUAUGUUUGAUGACAUAAUGAAAGGCUCCAAAGUAAGCUGCCCAUCGGGCAUGCAUCUUAUUCACAUGUUUUUUAGUUUUAAAAUGGAUCAGAGACUGAUGAUCUGUGUGAAUAAUAAAUUCUCGUCCCAUCAAAUACUGCUCCCAAGUUUUAAAAGCCCGGAAUACUGCAUAUAGUUCCUGCUCAUAAGUAGACCACUUCUUUCGAGAUUCAUUCAGUUUCUCACUAAAGAAGGCAAUAGGCCUUUUAGACUGUGACAAUACUCCUCUAAUCCCAACUCCACAAGCAUCACAUUCAAUCUCAAACAGUUUAUCAAAAUCAGGUAGAGCAAGAAUAGGGACAGAAGUAAGCUUAUCUUUAAUCUCUUCAAAGCUCUUGUUGGCAGCUUCAGUCCAUGCAAAUUUAUGCACUCUCUCUUUCUUCAAGCAAUCUGUGAUAGGGGCAACGAUGCUGCUGAAAUUUCUGAUAAACCGUCAGUAGAAAGUGGCAAGGCCAUGAAAGCUACGAACUUCAGAAAUAGUUUUGGGGAUG